GUAUGUUAGUGUGUUUGGAUGAAGCAUCUGCUAAUCAUACACAUAGCUAACGGUAUAUGGACUCUACAGCCCAUUAUGAUGUGGUGAAGUGACUGUGCUGUGGCAGAGACUGUAGCGUGUGUGCUUUACAUGAGAGAGGUCAGGGGUUCAAGACUGAGUCGAUGGGUGUGAGGUAUGGGUAGGCCUGUCAUGGGAGGCGGAAAAAUGGCCAGCAGGAAGGUGUGCAGCAGCCACUGGAAUGACCUCUUCCACCUCCUCCACUAACAGCUCCUCAUCAGCCGGCAGUGGGAUGUGAUCCUGAAGGGCCAUGUUGCAGAAGCGCCGCCACUAAAACUACACUGCACGCCUUUGCAGGAUGGAGCUUCAGGCCACCAGCGGAUUUGCUCACACACCUUUCCACAUGCCCAGGGCCCUCUCCAAAACAACGCGGGUCCGGCUAUGGGCGUUGUUGUAUCGCGCCUCUGCCUCGCUGUUGGGCUCCUAGAUGGAGCAGUUGACAUGCUUGUAUUAUCAUAGGGGGUUGAUGGAAUAAAGUAGGUCUUGAAAUGUCAGUGCACUCAGGAAAUAUAGACAUGCAUUUGAAAACAACAGUAUAGACUUUGCUACUAUCUCAGCAGCAGAAGGCAACAACAUGAGCAGCACCUACAAUAACACUGUGUGUGUGUGUUUGUGUGUGUGUGUUAGUACAGCUGGCGCAGAUCCUUCAACCAUUUGAGCAUUGAAACAUUUGUGCUAUGUGAACUGUCAUUUUGUGGUUGUGAUUCAACACACAACUUCAUAACUACAAUGGAUAAAAAGUAAUGGUAAAAAAACUGUAUCUGUGCAUUUAAAAUAUCAUGAAAUACUUGUGUGUGGUAACAGUAUUCAGUUUUCAGUUUUCAGUGUCACAAUGAAAACACAUAACAAGGGCAACAUUGGAAAAAUGCUGCAUAAAGGCAUGACAAAAUCGCAUUGAA